GUGCCGCGCCGCAGUACUACGGAGGAUGCGAGCGUUAUCCGGAUUCAUUGGGUUUAAAGGGUGCGUAGGCGGCUUCUUAAGUCAGUGGUGAAAUCCUGCGGCUCAACCGUAGAACUGCCAUUGAAACUGGGAAGCUUGAAUACAGAUGAAGUAGGCGGAAUGAGUAGUGUAGCGGUGAAAUGCAUAGAUAUUACUCAGAACACCGAUUGCGUAGGCAGCUUACUAAACUGAUAUUGACGCUGAGGCACGAAAGCGUGGGGAGCGAACAGGAUUAGAAACCCCAGUAGUCC
rnacentral:rRNA from 1 species